rnacentral:tRNA from 1 species
ACACUCCCCGCGCGGAGGGAGCGUAGCGAGCGUGAGCGCAGGCCCCGGGUUCAAAUCCCGGCGAGUCCA